UAGCCUGCAGGAAAGUUACAAGAAGAACAAGAAUAGUUACCUUAUCCGGCCAUGUGACACUUGUGGUUUAUAGAUUUUUCGCUCACACCAGAUGUCUGGACCCUGGACAGAUAACAGAAGGAGAGAGGGACCCUAGGAGGGACGUAAAGGAUUUGAUGAAAUCCUGUUAAGACAGACAAUCAGAUGGUAUGGCCUCUGAGGACCCCCAAGGAGCUCAACCGAGAGAAGGACCCACAAGCCCAACUGGACGAGGCCAUUAAACGAGGCAAAAAGACUGGCUGAGGAGCUCAACCCAGAACGGCUCCAAGGGCCAGUACAUCAAGAGCCAGACUAGUGCAACAUUUUGGACCAGUCACUGAGGAAGAAUCAGAGACGAGGACCAGUGGGUUGGAAUCAACUCCAGUUUUAAACAUUGAUGAAGAAAUAGGUAUGUUUAAAUGGUUUUUCUUUCAAAAUUGGGGUCAUCUUGGUGUUACUGAAUUAUACUGCACUACAUCUUUAUUUUGACAGUGAUGCAACAUUUUUAAAUGUGUUUCCAGAAUUUCGGAUUUGAGAUCAAAUGUUUGAUAUGAGGUUACAGUGCAGAAUGUCACCUUUUAUUUCAGGGUAUUUGUAGACUUUUCUGAUUUACCGUUUCGAAAUGAAGGCACUUUAUAUGUCUAGUUGCAAGUUUUAUUAGUCGUAUGUACAGGAUACGGAUGGUAACACGAUCCAACGAAAUGCUUACUUGCAGGUAGCUUCUCGACAAAGCAAAUGAAAAUGCUGGAGUGUAGAGACAAAUUCAACAUUUUAGCAUCACUGUCCAAAUACUUCUGUAGGGGAGUACAAUAACAACAUCCUGGUACUUCUGUAGGAGAGUGCAAUAACAACAUCCUGGUACUUCUGUAGGGGAGUGCAAUAACAACAUCCUGGUACUUCUGUAGGGGAGGGCAAUAACAACAUCCUGGUACUUCUGUAGGGGAGGGCAAUAACAACAUCCUGGUACUUCUGUAGGGGAGGGCAAUAACAACAUCCUGGUACUUCUGUAGGGGAGGGCAAUAACAACAUCCUGGUACUUCUGUAGGGGAGGGCAAUAACAUCCUGGCAGAGCUUUUUCCUCCACAUUUCAUUUAAUAUGAAGCGAUCUGCCAUUCCACAUUAUGGAAUUAGUCUUAGUUGAAUUCAUUCAAGUCCACUAUUGGAAUGUUUACACUGUCUUUCCUUUUGUAACCACUGUCUGUAAUUGUGAAAGCUGGAAGCAUUUGCCUUUGAGGAGAGUUUACUCUGUAGUCAAAAUACACAGUGUACAAAAUAUUCCCAAUAUUGAGUUGUACUCUCUUUUGCCCUCAGAACAGCCUCAAUUCGUCAGGGCAUGGCCUCUACAAGGUGUCGAAAGCGUUCCACAGGAAUGCUGGCCCAUGUUGACUCAAAUGCUUCCCACAGUUGUCAAUUUGGCUGGAUGUCCUUUGGGUGGUGGACCAUUCUUGAUACACACGGGUAAAUGUGGAUCGUGAAAAACCCAGCAGCGUUGCAGUUCUUGACACAAACCGUUGGACCUGGCACCUACUACCAUACCCCUUUCAAAGGCACUUAAAUAUUUUGUCUUGCCCAGUCACCCUCUGAAUGGCACACAUACACAAUCCAUGUCUAGAUUGUCUCAACACUUAAACAUCCUUCUAAAACCUGUCUCCUCCCCUUUAUCUACACUGGUGGAUUUAACAGGUGACAUCAAUAAGGGAUCAUAGCAUUCACCUGGUCAGUCUGUCAGGGAAAGAGAAUGUUUUGUACUCAGUGUGUUGUUGCUGUUUUAAGAACAUUCAGAAUUUCUAUUCGAUGAUGGGAUCAAGUUAUAUUGUUUGAUAUUCCAAUUUAGACUUUACUCAUCAUUUUGGUCUGCAAUGUAUUUGAAUUUACUGUAGAAUCAAAGCUGAUGUUUUUGGCUUGUCACACCAUAGAUUGUGCAGAGAUAUAUUUGCUGUCACCUACUUACAGCCCUAUGUGUGUUUUAAUAGAUUAAUUAUAUCAUUUUCUUAAUUGAAUCAUUUUCCCAUUUUUGUGUUUUCAAAAAAGCAAUACUUCAUAGAGAAAUUAACAUCCUCCUAGCUGACUUAGAAGAGUGUUGAGUGUUCAAAUCCUGCGGUGCCUGGUGCAUCACACAGUUGGAGUGUGAGGAAGGAACUCUCACAGGAUAGGUGGAGAGAGUCCAGGCCUGAGAUUGUAGAUUCUCUGCUGGCUGCAGAGCAUGCUUCUCAGAAGAUCUGUCAGUCAUGCAAUGUGAAAAAGGCUAUUCUGCGAUGUAGAGACUGUCUGCCGAAACAGCUUUACUGCGAAGACUGCGAUGUCUCUACACAUGCAAAGUUCCCCCUGUACAACAGAGAGUUCAUGAUCGAGGGGUUCUACACGCCCCUUCCUCCAACUACAGCCAUAUCUCUCCACAGCGAUGGCAACAGGAUUGUUUCUUACCAUUGGACGUACCAGAGGUGAUAUGUGGUUGCCUGACAAGCACCAUCCAUGUUGGCCCUGGGAAACAUAUAAUACUCGUAGGAAUCAAUGGUCGCUACAAUGUCACAGUGCCUGUGCUGACCUGCACAACUUGUCUUAGCACCUGGACAGCAAACUUGGCAGAUCUGAUAAAGUAUGGGUACUGGCCUGCCACUGUCAACUGUGACACCAUAUACCAUGUAGAUCUGUUUAGCUCUUUUGAGGAGCUGAAAGUGUCAGCCCUAGGAAUGUCCCGUCUGGCGUUUAUGCGGAUUUUGGAGCAGCGUACUGACUACUUUGACAGGAACAGAAUGAUCUGUGGGGACACUUUUCAAAAAAGCUUCUUUGAGUGGACGUACUGCCGCUCUGAAAUUGAUCAGGUCUGUGAUAUACAGUACUUUGACUACCCAGCCUGUUCACCCAGCAUGCUUGUAGUGUCAGUGGACGGGAACAAGAAGCUCUAUCGAUUCAAAAAAGGGACUGAUGACAAAGGAUUCUUUGGCGUAUUUAUCUGCAAGGAUGAGGAUGUGUCUGACUUUGUGAACUAUGUCCAUACAAAGACUAAACAUGGUUAUGGAAAAGGGGUAUGUGGAGCAUCCCAGUGGUCAGCAGCUAAAGAGUCAUCAAGGAAAACAAACAACAAACUUGAUGAAGAGGGACUCGAAGUUGCCGUCUGCCGCCACGGAAUACUUCUAAGGAGCCUCAACACGAUGCGUGGAGAGAUAUUUGCGUACCCACUGUUCUUGCAGAAGGAAUUGUCUGGCAACAGGAACAUACAAUUCAUGUGUACGGAUGUGAUCUGCAAAUUUUGGCCAUACCUGACCAAAGUUGCCCUUCACUGUCCAGAGCUCGCCACUCUUCUAGACAUGAAGCCACUGCUUUCCAUCAUGCAAAGGCACAUCGUUUGAAAUGCGAGAUUAAGUGGGGAGGACGGAAUCAGGAAGGAGCUGGCACAACUCUGGGGGAGGAAGUGGAACAAGGCAACAGCUUCUUGUCGAGGGCUGCAAUCUGUUCCGAGCAAAUGUCCAAAGGAGCAAGAACAGACAUGCUAACCAUCCAGGCCAUGGGGUGGAACAGAAGGAAGAAGAACAACCUGCACAGAGUAUUGUCCAGAAGAUACUUGAAGACAACAGCAAAAAUCCAGGAGGAGACCCGGACUCAAAGUUUAGGAGUGAUUUGGGUGUAGGCGACGAGACUCUGUACAACUGGACAACGGAAGUUCAGCAAUGGGCUACUACAGAGGAAACAAAUGAGAACAUGGAUGGUCAUCAGGUACUACAUAGAACAAUUGAAGUCCUGUUUCUUAGCGUCAAACAAAGGAAACAGAACCUCUACUGUCAGACAGAAGGAUACAAGAAAAGACACCCUCUGUGCAGAAAGAUAUUGGAAGAAAAGGCCAAAUUGACAGCUGCCAUAUAGGAGUACAACGCCCUUGUACCGGAUUCAGCAAUACCAUCUGCAGAUGAUAUCCUUUCUGCAGACCUUCAUGCAUGGCCUUGGGAGCUGCAUGGACAAACUGACCUACUCACAAAGAAAAUAGCCUUUGACCGGGUGAUGCUCCUGAGACGGCUGAAGGAGGAAGAGGUAAUUGUCCUAAAGGAAGUCUAGCAGCACUGGGAAAGCCUAAAGAGGGAAUCGGAGAAUGUGCAAGACCUUGCUUCACAUGUGGCACUUGACCUAAGCAGGCAAAUCAGAAGCUGGGAGCAGAGGUCUCUUCUCCAUGCUUCAGAGGAGAGUCAGCAGCCUCAGAAGAUACCAGGACUCUGUCAAACUGAUAUACAGCAAAGCUAUGGGCCAAGACACCUCCCUCCUAGAAAAUAACUUCAUAGAUGACCUCCUGGAAGAGGACCUAGAUGACAUCUAUGACAGCAUUCACUACAGCUCGGAUGACGAGGAAUCUAUCACAGACUGAAGGUGUUCGUUUGGGUGGGUGCAGUUUGCACUGGGUAAAAAGUGAUUCCAUUUGUUUUGCAUGUGUGUUUUAUCUGCCUUCGUAAGGAAAAAUAGUUUGACAUUUUUUUGGAAAAUAAACUUUUAUGUUUCUUC